rnacentral:rRNA from 1 species
GGGGGAUAAAUUAAUAAAGUAUAAAUAAUAAAAAAAUUUUUAAUAUUAAAAUAUUUUAAUGGGGGUUAAAGUAUAUUUAAUAGAAAAAAUAGAAAAAUUUAUAGAAAAUUAGUAUUGUAAAAGAAAUUUGAAAUAUAUUGAAAAUAAAUUUAUUUAGAAGUAAAUUUAAUUUAUUGUAUCUUGUGUAUCAGAGUUUAUUAAUAAUAAUUUUUUUUUAAAAAUUUUCUCGAAUUUAAAAGAGAUAAUUAAUUAUUAAAGUUAAUGUUGUAUAAUUAUUUUAAAUAAUUAAUUGGAAAUGAAAUGUUAAUCGUUUUUAAAUAUAUCUAGUUUUUUUAGAAAAAAAUUUAAUUUUAAAUUUUAAAAAAAAUAUAAUUUUAAUUAAUUAAAAUUAUAUUUUUAAAAUUAAAUAUUUUAAGGGAUAAGCUUUAAAAUAAAUUUUUAUAAUAAAUUUUAAUAGUAAUUAAAAUUUUUAAAAUUUAUAUUGUUUAUAAAUUAUAGUUUUUUAUAAAUAAUUUUAAUUAAAUUAAAAUUUCAAAAUUUAUUUAAUUUUUUAUUAAAAAAUAUUUUUUAAUAGUUUAAAUUUAGAUAUAAUGAUAAAAUUAGUAUAUAAAUAAAUAAAUGUAAUUUAUUAUUUGAUAAUUUAAUAAAAGGAAUUCGGCAAAAAUUUAUAUUCACUUGUUUAUCAAAAACAUGUCUUUUUGAUUAAUAAUUUAAAGUCUAAUCUGCCCACUGAUAAUAAAUUAAAGGGCUGCAGUAUUUUGACUGUACAAAGGUAGCAUAAUCAUUAGUCUCUUAAUUGGUGACUUGUAUGAAGGAUUUGAUGAAAUAUAUACUGUCUCUUUUUAAUUUGUAAAAUUUAAUUUUUUAGUUAAAAAGCUAAAAUGUAUUUAAAAGACGAGAAGACCCUAUAGAGUUUUAUAUUUUUAUAAAUUAAAAUUUUUUAUAAGAUUUAAAAUUUUAAUUUAUAUAAAUAUUUUGUUGGGGUGAUAGAAAAAUUAAAAUAACUUUUUUUAUAAUUUUACAUUAAUAAAUGAAUAAAUGAUCCGUAAUUUACGAUUAUAAGAUAAAAUUACCUUAGGGAUAACAGCGUAAUUUUUUUUUUUAGUUCAAAUAAGAAAAAAAGUUUGCGACCUCGAUGUUGGAUUAAGAUAAAAUUUAAAUGCAAAAGUUUAAAAUUUUUGAUCUGUUCGAUCAUUAAAAUCUUACAUGAUCUGAGUUCAAACCGGUGUAAGCCAGGUUGGUUUCUAUCUUUAGAUUAAUAAAAUAUUUUAGUACGAAAGGAUCAAAUAUUUAAAAUAGUUUUAUUUAGAAGAAUUUUAAUAAUAGUAGGUAUUUUUAAAUAUG